rnacentral:rRNA from 1 species
GAUGAACGCUGGCGGUAUGCUUAACACAUGCAAGUCGAACGGACUCUUCGGAGUUAUUUGCGGACCUGUGGGUAACGCCUGGGAAUCUGGCUUUGGGUUCGGGACACCCACUGGAAACGGUGGCUAAUACCGGAUGUGCCGAUACGUAAAAGAGAAAUUGCCUGAAGAUGAGCUCGGGUUUGAUUAGCUAGUUGGUGAGUUAAAGGCUCACCAAUGCAGCGAUCAGUAGCUGGUGUGAGAGGAUGAGCAGACACACUGGGACUGAGACACGGCACAGACCCAUGCGGGAGGCAGCAGUGGGGAAUUGUCCGAAAGGGGCGAAAGUGUGACAGAGAAAUACCGCGUGAGGGAAGAAGGCUCUUGGGUUGUAAACCUCUUGCCUUAGGGAAGAACAAAAUGACGGUACCGAAGGAAUCAGCAUCGGCUAACUACGUG